CCUACGGGAGGCAGCAGUGAGGAAUAUUGGUCAAUGGGCGCAAGCCUGAACCAGCCAAGUCGCGUGAGGGAUGACGGUCCUAUGGAUUGUAAACCUCUUUUGUCGGGGAGCAAGGCCCGCCACGUGUGGCGGGAAGGAGAGUACCCGAAGAAAAAGCAUCGGCUAACUCCGUGCCAGCAGCCGCGGUAAUACGGAGGAUGCGAGCGUUAUCCGGUUUUAUUGGGUUUAAAGGGUGCGUAGGCGGAAGGUUAAGUCAGCGGUAAAAUGUCGGUGCUCAACACCGGCCUGCCGUUGAAACUGGUCUUCUUGAGUGAGCGAGAAGUAUGCGGAAUGCGUGGUGUAGCGGUGAAAUGCAUAGAUAUCACGAAGAACUCCGAUUGCGAAGGCAGCAUACCGGCGCUCAACUGACGCUGAGGCACGAAAGCGUGGGGAUCGAACAGGAUUAGAUACCCUUGUAGUC
rnacentral:rRNA from 1 species